GACAACACAAGUGCUUGGAGACCAGAAGUGCUGCAUUGUAUAAACAUCUGAAGAGCCUGUAUAAUUUCUGGUUGAAGGUUCCACACAGAGAAAGCUCAUAACUGGUCACCAUUAAAUACCACGGUAUCUGGCAUGAGGCACCUCAUGACUGUGAGCCUAAUUCACCUAUUAAGAGGCCUGUUGAACA